AUGUUAGUAAUAUGGGCAAUCUCUCAAGUAUCCCUUGUCUCUCUCCCAAUCUUGAGGAAGAGAUUCAUCAUUCUUAUACACAAACCCAAAAAUUCUUCCUCUAAGCUC
rfam:Capsicum annuum cultivar Zunla-1 chromosome 2, whole genome shotgun sequence